AGCAGAGCCGCGGUGACAGCUGAGCUCCAGGUUUACUGAAGAAACUAUCACAACCGAAUAUGAGCUGGAGCAGAAACCAAUGCGUUUAAAUGACACACUGGGAGGGCAAAAUCCAGCCGGUAAAGCAACACUUGCUGUAGAACGCCUGUACUUUGAUGGGAAUACACUGAAGGAGGCAGUAGCAAUCAAAUGAACAUUGAAGAAAGUUGACUACUUCAGCUGCACACAGGUUCAGGAAGACAUCCAUGCCCUGGCAACCUUCAUUUUUGUCCCCAAGCAACUAGGGGGCGCCUGGAUUUGAGUUUGUCUUCAUCCUGAACCCACCACUCCCAGACACGCUGUCCCACCCUGCAUCCUCUCCCUCCUCUCCUUCUCCCAGAGCUUGGCUUUCUCCUUCCUCCUGGCACCCACGGGCCCCUCUGGCCU